UUUGACCUCAAAUCAGGUAGGACUACCCGCUGAACUUAAGCAUAUCAAUAAGCGGAGGAAAAGAAACUAACAAGGAUUCCCCUAGUAACGGCGAGUGAAGAGGGAAAAGCUCAAAUUUGAAAUCUGGCGGUCUAAGGCUGUCCGAGUUGUAAUCUAGAGAAGUGUUUUCCGUGCUGGACCGUGUACAAGUCCUUUGGAACAAGGCGUCAUAGAGGGUGAGAAUCCCGUCUACGACACGGACUGCCAGUGCUCUGUGAUACACUCUCAACGAGUCGAGUUGUUUGGGAAUGCAGCUCAAAAUGGGUGGUAAAUUCCAUCUAAAGCUAAAUACAGGCGAAAGACCGAUAGCGAACAAGUACCGUGAGGGAAAGAUGAAAAGCACUUUGGAAAGAGAGUUAAACAGUACGUGAAAUUGUUGAAAGGGAAACGCUUGAAGUCAGUCGCGUCUUCAGAAAUUCAGCUUGGCUUUUGCCUGGUGCACUUUUCUGUUGGACGGGCCAGCAUCGGUUUUGGCCGCCAGAAAAAGGUGGGAGGAAUGUGGCACCUCCGGGUGUGUUAUAGCCUCCCGUCGUAUAUGGCGGCUGGGACUGAGGACCGCAGCACGCCUUAAUGGCCGGGGUUCGCCCACGUAACGUGCUUAGGAUGCUGGCGUAAUGGCUUUAAGCGACCCGUCUUGAAACACGGACCAAGGAGUCUAACAUGCCUGCGAGUAUUUGGGUGGUAAACCCAUAUGCGGAAUGAAAGUGAACAGUUGGGACUUCUGUCAUGGAAGGCACCGACGCCCGGACCAGACCUAUUGUGACGGAUCCGAGGUAGAGCAUGUAUGUUGGGACCCGAAAGAUGGUGAACUAUGCCUGAGUAGGGUGAAGCCAGAGGAAACUCUGGUGGAGGCUCGUAGCGAUUCUGACGUGCAAAUCGAUCGUCGAACUUGGGUAUAGGGGCGAAA
rnacentral:rRNA from 1 species